rnacentral:rRNA from 1 species
UACGUAGGGGGGCUAGCGUUGCUCGGAAUCACUGGGCGUAAAGGGCGCGUAGGCGGCGUUUUAAGUCGGGGGGUGAAAGCCUGUGGCUCAAUCACAGAAUGGCCUUCGAUACUGGGACGCUUGAGUGUGGUAGAGGUUGGUGGAACUGCGAGUGUAGAGGUGAAAUUCGUAGAUUAUUCGCAAGAACACCGGUGGCGAAGG